AUUGAAACACUGGUUCUCAUUCAAUCACUGAAGUUAAGCAAUGUCAAGCCUGGUUAGUAUCUAGAUGGGUGACUUCUUGGGAAUAUCAGGUACUGUAAG